CCUGCAAGUGUUAUAGGUGUGGCUGCUGUGUCACGUCUGAGCAAAGUGGAGAGAGGCUGCACUCAGUGGUCUGUCCUAUGAACAUCUGACUGAUUGGUGGCCUAAUACU
ensembl:snoRNA LOC120103334 small nucleolar RNA SNORA17